rnacentral:rRNA from 1 species
GACGAACGCUAGCGGCAGGCCUAAUACAUGCAAGUCGAACGCGAAAGUCGACUUCGGUUGACAAGUAGAGUGGCGCACGGGUGCGUAACGCGUAUGUAACCUACCCUUAAGAGGGGGAUAGUCGCGGGAAACUGCGAAUAAUACCCCAUAUGCUUUUAGUCUGGCAUCAGACAGAAAGGAAAGAUUUAUUGCUUAGGGAUGGGCAUGCGUGACAUUAGUUAGUUGGUGAGGUAACGGCUCACCAAGGCAACGAUGUCUAGCUGGUCUGAGAGGAUGAUCAGCCACACGGGCACUGAGACACGGGCCCGACUCCUACGGGAGGCAGCAGUAAGGAAUAUUGGACAAUGGGGGCAACCCUGAUCCAGCCAUGCCGCGUGAAGGAUGAAGGUUCUCCGAAUCGUAAACUUCUUUUAUAGGGGAAUAAUAAGGUGCUAUACGCACCGAUGUAGGUACCCUAAGAAUAAGCACCGGCUAACUACG